UGAAAGUACAAAUCAAGCAAUGGUAUAAUGUGGUGAACCAUGUAACAGUAUUGAAUUAGAAAUGCACUAAAUGAACUUCCUCUCAUUAGAAGAUCUGUUAAUUAGCAUUAGCUAGAAUUCUUUCCUUGUUCUAAGCUUCCUUAUUGCAUCAUAGCGGACGUCACACAUUCCUCGAACAACCACAAUGAGCAACACGAGAAUCUGUGCGUGUGAUGUAAGAGCGCGAGUCUGCUGUCUGGCACCGUUCCCCUUCACUGAAUUACACGCUAAACUACAGAAACUGCAAAGCAACAUUUCAUCUGAAUAGAGUCAUACACAGAAACCCUUUCUAUGAGCCAAUAUAAUAUAUAAGGCACUUCUGAGUAGUUUAUAUAAUAAAAAUAACAGUCAUGGACAGAGCAUUCAGAAACAAAGCAGGAUCCUAUAGACUGUAAGCUUGUUUGAGAAGGGUGCUGCUGGGGCCAAUUCAUACAACAUAUUUACACACACAGAGAGAGCUCCAGUAAGUCUGGCUUCACAGCACUGGGCUAAACAACGGUGUCAAUGCAGCAAUAUAAAGCUUGGCGGGA